rnacentral:rRNA from 1 species
AACGAACGCUGGCGGCAUGCCUAACACAUGCAAGUCGAACGAGACCUUCGGGUCUAGUGGCGCACGGGUGCGUAACGCGUGGGAACCUGCCCUUAGGUUCGGAAUAACUCCCCGAAAGGGGUGCUAAUACCGGAUAAUGUCUUCGGACCAAAGAUUUAUCGCCUUUGGAUGGGCCCGCGUUGGAUUAGCUAGUUGGUAGGGUAAAAGCCUACCAAGGCGACGAUCCAUAGCUGGUCUGAGCGGAUGAUCAGACACACUGGGACUGAGACACGGCCCAGACUCAUACGGGAGGGAGCAGUGGGGAAUAUUGGACAAUGAGCGAAAGCCUGAUCCAGCAAUGCCGCGUGAGUGAUGAAGGCCUUAGGGUUGUAAAGCUCUAUUACCCGGGAUGAUAAUGACAGUACCGGGAGAAUAAGCUCCGGCUAACUCAGUG